CUCGUGGGGGCCCGUGGUGUGCGCUCACGUUGACCGCUUGCCUCCCUCAUCUGCCUGUCUGUGUCAUCCCCGCGCAGAGUCGGGCACAGCAGCGGCCGCCGACGGGUUUUCCCGACCAGACUCACAGGGUGGCGCUGUGCCUCCCUUCCACGUCCAUGACCUCGCCGAGGUGAUGGACGCUGCAGGUCUGCUGUGGCACCACAGGGCCGCGCUGCCGAAACCUCGGAGCCCCUUUUUGUAAGAUUAUGCACGUCCUCAUCCUGCUGCUAUCUUCCCGGUCAACAUGUCCCCCUUACCGACAGCAUAGUUCCUGUAUUCUGGCGCAGUGGAGUUGAAGAUUAAGGACUGAAAUAAAUAAAUAAAAAAACAACAACGACGAAAAAAGAAUGCUACGAGUAUGAGUUUUUUUUUUAACUAAGAGU